GACGAACGCUGGCGGCGUGCUUAACACAUGCAAGUCGAACGGUGAAGCGCCUUCCUUUUUGGUUGGUGUGGAUGAGUGGCGAACGGGUGAGUAACACGUGAGUAACCUUCCCCCUUCUUCUGGAUAACCGCAUGAAAGUGUGGCUAAUACGUGAUAUUCUGGGUCUGUCGCAUGGUUGGUCUGGGAAAUAUAUUGUUUCGGUGGUGGAUGGGCUCCCGGCCUAUAAGCUUGUUGGUGGGGUGAUGGCCUACCAAGGCGGUGACGGGUAGCCGGCCUGAGAGGGUGGACGGUCACACUGGGACUGAGACACGGCCGAGACUCAGACGGGAGGCAGCAGCGGGGAAUAUUGAACAAUGGGCGAAAGUCUGAUGCAGCGACGAGGCGGGAGGGAUGGAGGCCUUCGGGUUGUGAACCUCUUUCGCCAGUGAAGCAGGCCUGCCUGGUUUGUAGGUGGGUUGACGGUAGCUGGAUAAGAAGCGCCGGCUAACUACGUG
rnacentral:rRNA from 1 species